GUGGGAGUAUUGCACAAUGGGCGGCAAGCCAUGAUGCAGCCAUGCCGCGCUGUAUGAAGAAGGCCAAUUCGGGGCUUUGGUUAAAGAUACUUUUCAGCGAGGAGGAAGGCGUUGUGGUUAAUAACCGCAGCGAUUGACGUUACUCGCAGAAGAAGCACCGGCUAACUCCGUGCCAGCAGCCGCGGUAAUACGGAGGGUGCAAGCGUUAAUCGGAAUUACUGGGCGUAAAGCGCACGCAGGCGGUCUGUCAAGUCGGAUGUGAAAUCCCCGGGCUCAACCUGGGAACUGCAUCCGAAACUGGCAGGCUAGAGUCUUGUAGA
rnacentral:rRNA from 1 species